AUUGAACGCUGGCGGCAGGCCUAACACAUGCAAGUCGAGCGGAUGAAGGGAGCUUGCUCCUGGAUUCAGCGGCGGACGGGUGAGUAAUGCCUAGGAAUCUGCCUGGUAGUGGGGGAUAACGUCCGGAAACGGGCGCUAAUACCGCAUACGCCCUGAGGGAGAAAGUGGGGGAUCUUCGGACCUCACGCUAUCAGAUGAGCCUAGGUCGGAUUAGCUAGUUGGUGGGGUAAAGGCCUACCAAGGCGACGAUCCGUAACUGGUCUGAGAGGAUGAUCAGUCACACUGGAACUGAGACACGGUCCAGACUCCUACGGGAGGCAGCAGUGGGGAAUAUUGGACAAUGGGCGAAAGCCUGAUCCAGCCAUGCCGCGUGUGUGAAGAAGGUCUUCGGAUUGUAAAGCACUUUAAGUUGGGAGGAAGGGCAGUAAGUUAAUACCUUGCUAUUUUGACGUUACCAACAGAAUAAGCACCGGCUAACUUCGUG
rnacentral:rRNA from 1 species